GUACUUGUCUUUUCUCUUUUAUAGAAAUAUUUUAUCAAGGUAAAUAAGCAACCAGGAAGUUGAUUCUUAAAUGGCAAUUGAGACCCUGACUGCAAGAGUCAGCAAGCAAAAGAUUUGAGUGACUCAAUAACUGGAUGUGUUGGCCAGAGAGGAGAGUUAAAAUACUGUACAAGUUUCCAAAGCACAGAAGUGUAAUGUGAUCCCAGGAAACCAGGGUCAGCAGCAGCAUGGACCACGGAGUGACAGUAGCCUCAAUCACUAGGACCCUUCGGAACAGACACUCCACGAAAAUUUGUGUUUUUGUGUUU